UGCCCAGCUCGAUGCCUGUAGGAAAAACUAUUUGCAUGAGGUGGCAUCAUUUUACGGGAUUGGGGUCUCCAUAGUUCUGCAUAAAGCUGAGCUAAAAGCUGCUCUGGUGUCUGGCUUGGUGGAUAAGGGGAUAUUGGCCUUGCAAAUGUCUCCCAGUCCACCUGAGUUGGCUGAGCAUGGUGUAGCAUCUUAGCAUGUUCCCCUGUUGCCAGAUCAAAAUAUAGCACUGUAUGUGUCCACGCCUCUUGCUCAGGGACUGCCUGAGGAGACUGCCAAUGACACUGCCUCAUUUUGAGCCACUCUCGAUAGUCCUUGGGUUCAAAGCAGGAUGCUAGGCUACGAGUUCAUCUGGCUCAUCUCCAGCUGGAGAGAGAGAAAUGCGAAAGAGUUUCAUCUGAAGGAGGAGCUAGAACUUAUGGGCGGAGCUGGCCAGAGCCAGGGAGAUUGAGCUGAAAAAUGUGAAAGCAGAGACAACUGUCAAGUUGUGACAUUUAGAACUCCAACAAGUUUCCCUUCUUACGACUGCCUGCAUUCCACAGCCAGGGGCAGGGUUUGAUGUAGGAAAAAGGUUGGCUAGUUGAAAAAAGUUGGUUGAUGUGACACAUUAACUUCUGAAGAAUUUUUAGAUUGCACUAAUCAUCAGAAAAGUUGCCAACUCCUGCUAUAGUGUAAUUUGACUGUAUGAGAUUAAUAUUCAGUUUCUAUGUUGUCAGCUAUAAUGGCUGGACAGCCUUUAAGAAUCGAAUCAGCUUCUAAAUAAUUUGCUGGUUUUCCCUCUUCUUGCUUUUUACUUUCUUUGAGGCUCUGGUGACUCUGGAGACUCUUGAGUCUAGAAAAGGAGCUGUUGGACAGAAAGAUGUCAACUGAGUGGGUACCAGCAGGUUUUGUCUACGUGUCUAUGUCCCACUGGGAGGAGUUCCCCUGGAUAAGCUGGAGGUGGUGGCUGGGCAGAGGGAGUUCCGGGGUGCUCUGCUUAGGAUCCUGCCUCUGGGACCCAACUGCAGAUAAAUGGAAGAAAAUGGAUGGAUGUUUUGUAACAGUGCAAUGAUUCAGCUUGAUUGUCUAUCUUGAGGAUACCAGGAGAGACGAGCCCUCCAUCACAGAUGGUGUUCAGUGAAGAAAGUCACCUGCAGAUUCAAGACCAUUGCAUCUCCAUCCCACAUUCACUGCCACUGUACAUAAGGGAAGUUGAACUUUCUGCGAUCACUGCAUUUUCAUUACCUUAAUCCAUGACAGUCUUUCAGGCUGUAAUGCCUGGACUGAGCAGAACUGCUUAAACUUGGGUUCAAAAUAAUUCAAUCUGAGACUUUGGUUUUGUUUUUUUGUAAGGUUAUUAAAGUUUUAAAUUGUUUAACAAAUAUGAAAAUUUAAUUUGAUAAGGAUCCCUCCUGGGUGAGGUGUUCCGGGCAUGUCCCAGGACACGCUGAAGAGAUUAGAUCUCUCGGCUGGCCUGGGAACGCCUUGGUGUUGCCCCGGAUAAGCUGGAGAAGGU